rnacentral:lncRNA from 12 species
UGGGGGUUUUGGGGCCGAUUUUGGGGUUUCAGGGACAUUUUUUGGGGUUUUGGUGCCGAUUUUGGGGUUUCAGGGACAUUUUUUGGAGUUUUUGGUGCCGAUUUUGG